rnacentral:rRNA from 1 species
UGAGAGCGGCGCACGGGUGCGGAACACGUGUGCAACCUGCCUUUAUCUGGGGGAUAGCCUUUCGAAAGGAAGAUUAAUACCCCAUAAUAUAUUGACUGGCAUCAGUCGAUAUUGAAAACUCCGGUGGAUAGAGAUGGGCACGCGCAGGAUUAGAUAGUUGGUGAGGUAACGGCUCACCAAGUCAACGAUCCUUAGGGGGCCUGAGAGGGUGAUCCCCCACACUGGUACUGAGACACGGACCAGACUCCUACGGGAGGCAGCAGUGAGGAAUAUUGGACAAUGGGUGAGAGCCUGAUCCAGCCAUCCCGCGUGAAGGACGACGGCCCUAUGGGUUGUAAACUUCUUUUGUAUAGGGAUAAACCUACCCUCGUGAGGGUAGCUGAAGGUACUAUACGAAUAAGCACCGGCUAACUCCGUGCCAGCAGCCGCGGUAAUACGGAGGGUGCAAGCGUUAUCCGGAUUUAUUGGGUUUAAAGGGUCCGUAGGCGGAUCUGUAAGUCAGUGGUGAAAUCUCACAGCUUAACUGUGAAACUGCCAUUGAUACUGCAGGUCUUGAGUGUUAUUGAAGUAGCUGGAAUAAGUAGUGUAGCGGUGAAAUGCAUAGAUAUUACUUAGAACACCAAUUGCGAAGGCAGGUUACUAAGCAACAACUGACGCUGAUGGACGAAAGCGUGGGGAGCGAACAGGAUUAGAUACCCUGGUAGUCCACGCCGUAAACGAUGCUAACUCGUUUUUGGGCUUUCGGGUUCAGAGACUA